rnacentral:rRNA from 1 species
GAUGAACGCUGGCGGCGUGCUUAACACAUGCAAGUCGAACGAAGCAAUAUAUUACGAUCCCUUCGGGGUGAUGAUAUAUUGACUUAGUGGCGGACGGGUGAGUAACGCGUGGGGAACCUGCCGUAUGCAGGGGGACAACAGUUGGAAACGGCUGCUAAAUACCGCAUUAAGCGCACAGAUCGGCAUCGAUUAGUGUGAAAAGAUUUAUCGGCAUACGAUGGCCCCGCGUCUGAUUAGCUAGUUGGUGAGGUAACGGCUCACCAAGGCGACGAUCAGUAGCCGACCUGAGAGGGUGACCGGCCACAUUGGGACUGAGACACGGCCCAAACUCC